GACCAAAUAGCUUACUUGGUAAAGCAUGCUAUCUACCAAGAAGGUCCCAGGUUCGAACCCUGGUCUGGUUA